AUGCGUGACCGACCUGCCCCAUACACCGGAAUAGCUCCUGGAAACGGGUGGUAAUGCCGGAUGCUCCGACUCCUCGCAUGGGGUGUCGGGAAAGAUUUCAUCGGUAUGGGAUGGGGUCUGCGUCCUAUCAGGUAGUCGGCGGGCUAACGGCCCACCGAGCCUACGACGGGUUAGCCGGCCUGAGAGGGCGACCGGCCACAUUGGGACUGAGAUACGGCCCAGACUCCUACGGGAGGCAGCAGUGGGGAAUAUUGCACAAUGGGCGCAAGCCUGAUGCAGCGACGCCGCGUGCGGGAUGACGGCCUUCGGGUUGUAAACCGCUUUUGAUCGGGAGCAAGCCUUCGGGUGAGUGUACCUUUCGAAUAAGCACCGGCUAACUACGUGCCAGCAGCCGCGGUAAUACGUAGGGUGCAAGCGUUAUCCGGAAUUAUUGGGCGUAAAGGGCUCGUAGGCGGUUCGUCGCGUCCGGUGUGAAAGUCCAUCGCUUAACGGUGGAUCUGCGCCGGGUACGGGCGGGCUGGAGUGCGGUAGGGGAGACUGGAAUUCCCGGUGUAACGGUGGAAUGUGUAGAUAUCGGGAAGAACACCAAUGGUGAAGCCAGGAUCUCUGGGCCGUUUACUGA
rnacentral:rRNA from 1 species